rnacentral:rRNA from 1 species
UACGUAGGUGGCAAGCGUUGUCCGGAUUUACUGGGCGUAAAGAGCGCGCAGGCGGCUGGGCAAGUCCGGUGUGAAAGCUUCCGGCUUAACUGGAAAAUUGCAUCGGAAACUGCUAGGCUUGAAGGUGGGAGAGGGUAGCGGAAUUCCCGGUGUAGUGGUGAAAUGCGUAGAUAUCGGGAGGAACACCAGUGGCGAAGGCGGCUACCUGGCCCACUCUUGACGCUGAGGCGCGAAAGCUAGGGGAGCAAACGGG